UACGAAGGGUGCAAGCGUUACUCGGAAUUACUGGGCGUAAAGCGUGCGUAGGUGGUUUGUUAAGUCUGAUGUGAAAGCCCUGGGCUCAACCUGGGAAUGGCAUUGGAUACUGGCGAGCUAGAGUGCGGUAGAGGGUAGUGGAAUUCCCGGUGUAGCAGUGAAAUGCGUAGAGAUCGGGAGGAACAUCUGUGGCGAAGGCGACUACCUGGGUUGACACUGACGCUCAGGCACGAAAGCGUGGGGAGCAAACAGG
rnacentral:rRNA from 1 species